GGAAGGAUCAUUGAAUCUAUCAAUACCAACACUGAGAACUAUUCUGUCUGGCCCCCUUGAUUUCUCUUGGCCUCAAAACCAGUUGAAUUCAUGCGGCGCUCCUGUCGGUUUACUCGGACAGGUGGCGGUCUCGUGAUUGCUCGAGUGUGUCUGGCGGAGCCUCACCGCUCCUCCAUUCCUCUCGUUCAUGUUCGGGUCGGUCUUAUAUUAACCUAAAAACCAAACCAAACCUUACUGAAGUAUAAAUGCGGUCGGCCUAGCCGCUGUAUUAAACUGAGACAACUCUCAACAACGGAUAUCUUGGCUCUCGUAACGAUGAAGAACGCAGCGAAAUGCGAUACGUAGUGUGAAUUGCAGAAUUCCGUGAAUCAUCAAAUCUUUGAACGCAUAUUGCGCUCGAGGCUUCGGCCGAGAGCAUGUCUGCCUCAGCGUCGGGUUAAUAUCAAUCAAAUUCAUUUACACUCGUUGUAAAGCGAACGAGAUUGGAUCUGGCUGUCCCACCGUUGUUGUUGGUUUAUUUAUCCGCUCUAACCUUUCACGAGGUUAGGUGCGCGUUAGAUCUGCCAGCGGCGUCAUAAUGAUGGGUCAGCUGAAGAAUAGAGGAUGGCGCAAAGGACCCGUUAUAACGGGCCGCAAUCGGGUAGGCAGCUCUUGCUCGCUAUAUCUACGUUGUUGGCACCAAGGGUCUAGUCGCUUUCCUUCUAAAGCAGGAAUUUAUUCCAUUAACCUAUUUUCUCGACCUGAGCUCAGGCAAGAACACCCGCUGAACUUAAGCAUAUCAAUAAGCGGAGGAAAAUAAACUAACAAGGAUUGGCCUAGUAACGGCGAGUGAAACGCCAAUAGCCCAACUUGAAAAUCUUCCUUUGAAGAAUUGUAGUCUAGAGAAGCGCCCUCUGCGGCGGCCGGAGCCUAAGUCCGCUGGAAGGCGGCGUCAAAGAGGGUGAUAACCCCGUCGGCUCUAGGCUUAGCUGUUCCACGAGGUGCUUUCCACGAGUCGUAUUGUUUGGGAAUGCAGUACAAAAUGGGAGGUAAAUCCCUUCUAAGGCUAAAUACUGACGAGAGACCGAUAGCGAACAAGUACCGUGAGGGAAAGAUGAAAAGAACUUUGAAAAGAGAGUUAACAGUGCUUGAAAUUGUUGAGAGGGAAGCGUUUGAAAGGUGUAGCUGCGCUCAGGCUUAUGCGUUUCUAACGAGCCGCUGUAUGUACUGAGUGCUGGUCAGCAUGGAUUAGAUCGGCGGGAUAACAACGGGGGUUGAAACCUCGUCUAUGCCGCCGGCUUGAUCAAGGUGUGAAUGACGCUCGGUCCUUUGGAACUGCGUCAUCAAGAUGCUGGCAGAAGCUUUUCAAACGGCCCGUCUUGAAACACGGACCGAGGAGUCUAACAUGUGUGCGAGUUGGUGGGUUGUAAACCCAUGAAGCGCAAGUAACCUGACUGGUGGGACGGCGCAAGCCUGCACCAUCGACCGACCAUGAGCUUAUGCGAAAGGUUUGAGUGCGAGCAUACCUGUUGGGACCCGAAAGAUGGUGAACUAUGCCUGAGCAGGGUGAAGCCAGAGGAAACUCUGGUGGAGGCUCGUAGAUGUGCUGACGUGCAAAUCGCUUUUCGGACUUGGGUAUAGGGGCGAAAGACUAAUCGAACCAUCUAGUAGCUGGUUCCCUC
rnacentral:misc_RNA from 1 species